rnacentral:rRNA from 1 species
GACGAACGCUGGCGGCGUGCUUAACACAUGCCAGUCGAACGGAAAGGCCCUGCUUUUGUGGGGUACUCGAGUGGCGAACGGGUGAGUAACACGUGAGUAACCUGCCCUUGACUUUGGGAUAACUUCAGGAAACUGGGGCUAAUACCGGAUAGGAGCUCCUGCUGCAUGGUGGGGGUUGGAAAGUUUCGGCGGUUGGGGAUGGACUCGCGGCUUAUCAGCUUGUUGGUGGGGUAGUGGCUUACCAAGGCUUUGACGGGUAGCCGGCCUGAGAGGGUGACCGGCCACAUUGGGACUGAGAUACGGCCCAGACUCUUACGGGAGGCAGCAGUGGGGAAUAUUGCACAAUGGGCGGAAGCCUGAUGCAGCAACGCCGCGUGCGGGAUGACGGCCUUCGGGUUGUAAACCGCUUUCGCCUGUGACGAAGCGUGAGUGACGGUAAUGGGUAAAGAAGCACCGGCUAACUACGUG